rnacentral:rRNA from 1 species
UACGGCCUAGCCAAUGAAAUUGAUCCUCCAGUACAAAAGCUGGAAUAAACUCAUAAGACGAGAAGACCCUGUGGAGCUUUAAAACCAAGAUCAUUAAACUAUGCUCCUUGGAUUUUUAGUUGGGGCGACUUUGGAGCAAAAAAAACCCUCCAAAACAUAAAUUUAAUUAUUUAGACCAACACACCAAGAAAAUUAUAUUAGACCCAGCAGUAUUUUUUUACUGUCUGACCAAUGAACCAAGUUACCCCAGGGAUAACAGCGCUAUCCUCUUCUAGAGUCCCUAUCGACAAGAGGGUUUACGACCUCGAUGUUGGAUCAGGACACCCC